GUUGGGGGUAAGCUUAUACACAGAUUUUCAUUUUUACCAAUUUUUAAACUCUGAAAUUGGAGAGUUGGCUUAUACAUGAAUCAGCUUAUAUUUGAGUACAUAUGAUAAUUAUUAAUGUGGCAGGUAAUUCAAAAAUUAUUCACUAGGGGAGUUUGAACUAGUUUAGGUUAUUUAAUUAAAUAAACUUUAAUGAAAACCACACAUCAGUAUCACAUAUAUUCACAUCAGUUCAGGUUCUAUAAUUCAAAAAGCGUAAUUUGCCAACAUUUAAAGUAAAAAAAUGAUUAGCUAGCUGGUACAUCACACAUAUGAAAAAUCAUGAAUAGACACACUCCUCAGCCAUUGAAGUAAUAGACAAACUGAACGAAUUAGAACCACUUCGUGAUGAAGUCAUGAAAAUCUACAAUUUUGAAGCUUUAAACCCCAUCAUAUAUCUGGAACUAGCAUACAUUGAAUUAUAUCGUUUCUUUUUAACAUACCUUCUGAAACAAAAAUGUGAUCCAGUAAUCUUGAAGAUUUAUGCUACAUAUUAUUAUAUGAAUCAUAUUUUAAUUACAGUGAAUUAUUUUAUAGACCAAAAUAGGAGAGUACCAAUGGGUAGUCCAUUAUCCCCAAUAAUUGCUGAAUUAAUCGUAAGAAGAAAAGGACAAUCAGCCCUACCUAUAUUAAAUAAUGAGUAAAAAUUUACAAAAGCUAUGUCGACAACAUAUUAAUUAUCAGAGAGAAAAAAAAAAGAAAAUAUGUUGGCUAUUGAACACAUUAUUUCUGAUGUGAACCUGGGACUAAUUUAAAAAAAAAAAAAUCCAACAAAUUAGAAAUAAAUUAUUUUAGUUUUAUAAAACUGGUAAAACUCAUCACAAUAGCAGUUGUGGGAAGGCUUUUUUAAUUGAACAAACGUUUUUGGUGGGAUUGCUUACCAUCAUCGGGCUUACAACUGAAAGAAGUUUCUUUCGGGUAUAAGCCUAAUGAUGGUAGGCGGUCUUGCCGAAGGCGUUUGUUUGGUUGAAAAUGUUUUUCCACAGCUGUUAUUGUAUCAAGUUUUAUUCCUUAUAUAACAAUACUGUAAACAUGCUUAAGCAAUAUAAAAAAACUAUUUUCAAAAGUUAUGAAUAAAUUAUCUUGAUCUAAAGAUACAAAUUGUCAAAGGUGAAUACAACACUUCAGUAUUUAAGAAAGAUACUUAUUGUCCCUUAUUUAUAUAAAGCACAUCAAAUGAAUCAUGGCCGUAUAAAAUGGCAACUUUUAGAUCUCUAUUAAAAAAGGAUCACAACACACUGUUUUAAUUAUACAAAUAGAUACUAGAAUUAUAAUGGGUGGUUAAACAAGUAGUAUUUCGUGACUAUAAUGACAGCUUAAUCUAUAAAUUAUGGAAGAACAGUGAUAAAAAAUCUAAUAAAAACAGAACAAAAAUCAGUUACAAACAAGAGAAUAAAACAAUUAGCUUCUACAUGCUAGACAUUAAUGAAGUUAUAUUAAAAUAUAAAAAGAAAUUAGAAGCGAUCACAGGAAAUAAAAUUGUCUUUAACAGAAAAAAUAGACAAUUUAUUGCAUUACAAUAAUGACAGACUAGAUUUAAAUAAGAUCCCAGCCAUAUACAAAAUCCCAUUUUACGCAAGCAGGAGUCAAUUGAUUACACAUCAGAAAUAUAACGAAAAAAUCAAUGAAUAUAGAUGCAACAUAGAAAAAAGCCACCAAAAUAUGAUAUUAGUGCAAAGAGCGGCCAUUAUGAAUGUAUCUAUCAAUUGGAAUGACGCAAAAAUCGUACACACCAAAGAAGAUCAGAUAAAAGGAAAAAACUAGAGAACCAUUGCACAUUUUAGAUAAAGGAUCUGCAGUUAUGCCAAUUAAUAAACUUGGCCCUGAUGACAUCAGCAAAGCAUGAGGAUAGUAUCUAUAUAAAGGACUCUAUUAACUUAAUAUUACAAUUUUAUAAAUUCAUUAUACAUUUAUUUUUAAUACUGAUAAUUAUGUUUAUUAAGAAAUUUCAAAAAAUUAUAGUAUUUAAAAUCAUUGUGC
rnacentral:lncRNA from 1 species